rnacentral:lncRNA from 1 species
UAUUUCUGGAUCUCAUUAAAUCUCCAGCAUUCACAGAUUGAGAACCACGCAUACGUUCAAGAGUCAUAAAUCAGCAGCAUAAUAAUUCCCCAACAUGCACUAAAGACUGAGGCUUGGAGGAUUCAUCGCACAACAAAGGACCUCAGACUGCUGCUCAAAGACCAGCUGUAUUUGUGUCCUGGAACAAGACAGUUCCACUUGUAAGAGCACCGUGUGAAGAUUUGAUUAGUGGAGUAAUAGCACAGUUUUGCUUAAAAUAUUCCAACACACAGCAUUAUGGGUGACACAUCAGAGUUCACAAGAGGACAAAUUGUUGGUGCACGUCUCUCUGGUGCAUCUGUGACCAAGGCAGCAGAUCUUUGUGGUGUAUCAAGAGCCACAGUAUCCAGAGUAACAUCAGCAUACAUCCAAGAAGGACGAACCACAUCCAACAGGAAUAACUGUGGAAGUAAGAGGAAGCUGUCUGAAAGGGAUGUCCGCGUGCUAACCCGGAUUGUAUCUAAAAACCAUGUAACCACAGCUGCCCAAUUCACAGCAGAGUUAAAUGUGCACCUCAAAUCUCCGGUUUCCACCAAAACUGUUCGGCGGGAGCUCCACAGGGUCAAUAUAUAUGGGCAGUUUCCUAUAGCCAAACCUUUGGUUGACUCAUGCGAAUGCCAACCGU